ensembl:lncRNA DPH5-DT DPH5 divergent transcript
GACUAGCGGGAGGGGGCCGGGCUAGCGGGCUACUGGGCUGCGGAGACCAGAGCCCGGCUCCACUGAAGAAACCCGCCGGCUGCUGGGGCAGGGCGGCGAAAGGUCAGUCGGCCGAGAGGAGUCCGUGGAGCCACCGUUUCAUAGCCUCAGGGAAAGGAUCGGGCGUGCUCACGAGCCCUCUAACCCAUGGCUUAAACACCCGCUUCCUAAGCCUGGCCUCUCAAGCACUGUGAAAAAUCACUUUCUCUUGUUGUAUUCUUGGAGCCCCUGCUAAUUCAUUAUUGAAAAAUACCUGCUGCCUGCAUUUGGCCUUAUGUUGUCAUUUACUUGGUACUUCCUAAGCGUGGCUACUCCAAUGAAGCUUUAGUAUAUGUACUGAAAGAAGAUCCUCUCAUACUGCCACAGCCAAGAGAUAAGGUUGUAAAUCUUUAUUGGGAGAAGCCGUCAAGGACAGUUCUGUGAAAUGAAAGGAUCUCUGGAUCACCACAAAGUCUGGCUCAGUGACUAUGGCUUUGCAAACACUAAACAUUCCUGUCUCAAGUCCUGUAGAUGGCUUGAAAUAGUAUACAUAAGCAUGCCUUAUAAACAUCUUCAGUCUUUAUCAACUCUUUGGAGAUUCAGCCAUUCUUUUUUGUACUUUAGGGAAUUAAAUCAUUUUAUAAUGUAUAAAUCUGAGCAUGGCCGAUGGCAGAAGAAAUUUUGUCAUACGUUUUUAAAGAAAUAAAAAUGUAUUAUGUUUUAAAAUUCCUUUAACUGUUUUUCUUACAAAAUUCCCAACAACUUAGUUACCAAGUAAACUAUCUCAGAUAUGAUUUUUCAGUCCUUGCUAAUCUAUUUAUAAAAUCUUUUGCUAUUUUAUAAUCUUAUUAUUUGUGUCUGUCCUUAAGUGUUCAUUUGUUUUUAUGUCUGUGUAUGUCAUGUUUAUUUGAGCUGUUUAAUGUAAAGUAAAACAAGAACUCCCUGCAUCUUAUAGCAUAAAAAGCAAUGUUUUUCAUAUUCUUACCCUAAUAGAAACCCUCAUUCACAGAGUGAUGGCUAAUGCUCUACCUUUCUGCAAUUCCUAGUCAGAGAACUGUCCAAGUCUCACAUGACCUGCAUCUUGAAGAAGAAACCUAUCACGAGUUAGUUCUUAGCUAUACAGGUUAACAAACUCAAAUGACCCACUAACUAAAUCUUGAUUCUUAACAAAAACACUAUGGUCUAUCAUCAUAACAAUGUCAAUUUCUCACAUUAUCAUUUUGAAUCAACAAUAUGCCAUCAUAUCAAAGAGAACUUAUCAUAUUAGCAUAUUGAAUAUAAAAUUACAGUGCAGCUAGUUCCAAGACCUGAAUGAGUGUGGUAUAUAAAAAGAGCAGUGGAUUAGAAAUAAGGCAAUCUGACGUGCUUAUCUCAGUUCUGCUGAUACUUGCUAUGUGUAUUUAAGGCUAAUUAUUUAAAUGGGCUUUAUUUAAAAAGGGAAAAGAAGUAGAGGCAUGCCCAUUCCUUUUAAGAAUAUGACCCGGAAUUUCCGUGUAUCAUCUCUGCUCAUGUACCUUUGGCCAGAGCUUAAUCAGUUUGUCCCAGGUAGUAGGAAAGGAGGCUGGAAUAUGUGGCCUUUAGCUGAAACUUCGAGGAUUCUAAAGGAAUUGGACUAUUGAAAGACAAGUAAUAGUCUUUGCCAUUGCUCUCUUAUCAGGAAAGCAAAUGUUCUUUCAGACCCUCCUCCCCUGCCCCACUGAGUGAUUCCAUCAGAUGAAUCACCAUCUAUGGCAGAUAGACCCUUAUGAAAUCUGUAUGCAGCAGAUUUCUACUUAGGCCAUAAUUGAGCAUAUAGUUACUCCUAGAUUUAAAAAAGCUGGGGAAGCAGGAAACAGGAUUGACAUGAUUGGCUUUGACCAAAGUUUCACAGACUUUCUUGGUGCACAGCUCCCUUGGGUUCUUAAUUUUUUUCGUGGUACCAAAAGAAAUACAUAAAAGUUUCAUAUACAAUUCAAUAAGCAUUUGAACUAUGACACAUAAAUUGAAAGAGAAGUAAUACCUUGUUCAUUCUUAGAUAACCACAGUUACUACUGGGCUAUAUAUACCUGUUGGGCACUCUACAACUUCUCAAACCUUGGACUCAGAUUGGAUGGUGCCACCCUAUGUCUUGCCAGACAGUGCUUGCUUUUCAUCACAGCAACCACUGAAAACCCAGCUUUGCAAUGACAUCAAUGACAUAAUAUUCUAAAGAAAUGUAGCAUGGUCUAAUGUGGAAACUGUGAAUCACCCCAAGCUAAUAGUGGGCAUGCUAUCUGCCAGAAGUUAAGUCCCUAUUUCCCUUGAAAAUUUGAAUAUAUUAUAGCUCCCCCAGUGAGUUUACUUUAGCACCCUUGAGGGCUGGGCACACAGUUUGGGAACCAUGGGCUUAGACUAAUCAUCGUUUAUUUUCUGGGCUGGACAUAUUGCUCCCUAGACAAGAAUUAGUUUUUUAGAGGGGAAGAAAGAAGAAUGGAAAAUAUUUAGGAAACCGACUAUUUCUGCCUCCUUCUAUUCCAGCUAAACUACAUGAUCUUUAAGAAGAGAGGCUAUGUCUGUUUUUACACACUUUUCUGUGGCAUAGUUCUGGGUAUUUCAAAGAACAUAGAGGCUUGGUACAGUGGCUCAAGCCUGUAAUCCCAGCACUUUGGGAGGCUGAGGUGGGCAGAUCCCUUGAGGUCAGGAGUUCAAGACCAGCCUGACCAACAUUGCAAAAUACCAUCUCUACUAAAAAAUACAAAAAUUAGUCAGGUGUGAUGGUGCACACCUAUAGUCCCAACUACUUGGGAAGCUGAGGCAGGAGAAUUGCUUGAACCUGGGAGGCGGAGGUUGCAGUGAGCUGAGAUCAUGCCACUGUACUUCAGCCUGGGUGACAGAGAAAGACUCCAUCUCAAAAAAGAAAAAAAAGAACAUACAUAUUUAUUAAAUGAUUAAGAAAUGAAGUUUAUAUGAUCAAUGAAAUAUGAUUAAUAACAUUAACCAACCAUAAAAUGCCAGAUUAUAGGAAAUUUGUUGCCUAUACAACAGGCUUCUGUGUAAAUUCAAGGGCCUGGACUAUGCCUUCCUAAUUUCUUACCACCAGUGCCCAAUAAUUGUUUGGUAUAUUGUAGGUGAGAGAAAAAUGUUGUUCAGAUGAAUUGGUGAAUGUCUCAGUGAGAGCUAGUUCUGUUCCCAAACACCAUUACAAAGGAGUUGCAUUACACUGCUAAUGAAAAUGCUUAUUAGUGGACUCUUAAUGUAAAUGCUCAUGUUGACUGCCAAGAAAGAAAAAUAACCACUUUAUCUUAUCACUAUGGAUCUAGGGCUUUUUUUGUUACCACAGUCACCACUAGAAAAACUGACAAAAAGAGAAAAGCAGAACUAUUCUGAGAUAUAAGAUGAACUUUUCUUAGAAUGGUUUAUAUUGUCAGCAGCUAAACUGUUUCAGUAUUCAGGAUUAUUACAUAAAGCCGGGAAAGUGACUAUUUUCAAAAGAGCUACCAAACUUUAUGACAGUCAUUUGAGCAAAAUGUAUCUUUCUCCUUUUUCUUGUUCCAUAGCCUAAAUAGGCUUUUCUCUGUUUUGAUGGUUUUGCCAUUCAAGCUCAUUCUGUUUUCUUGGGAAGCUAUGCAAGCUCUUUGGUUUCUGUGAUUGUAAAGUGUAUGGCUCUGUGACAACUCCAUGGAAGAAUGUGUAUGUGCAAGCGCUUUAGAUUUGUCUAGAUCUAAAAAUUUUCUAUGGUUAUUUGAGUUUUUUCAGUAAUAUAUUUAGAAAAUUAUUUAUGUCUCUGUCUGUAUUACUAAAUCAAAAGUAUUUUGAAGGCAGGGACUAUGUCCUUUUCAUUUUUGAAUCCCCAGAGCAUUGCAUCUGAACCCCCAAGACCUGGUACAUAGUAGGUACCCAAUUCAUAUUUGUCGAGUUAAUAAACUCUUUCUUAGCAAAAUUUUCCCAAUAGCACAGUACAGAGUUUGUUCAUGAUAAAUACUGAAUGUAUUUUUAUUUUGUGAGAGCCUAAAUCA